GCUCUGCCAGCGACUAGACUCCCUUCCUGGUUGCGCAGAGGGCUGUUGUCUGGGACGGUGAUCUAAAUCUCUCCCACCCAGGCAUGGAAGUCAGGAGUGAGAUUCUGCUUGGGCAAGAGACACUAUCAGAUCAUAAACUGGAAUGAGUCCAAACAUCUAUCAAGUUGAUGCUGUUUCCUGUUUUCUCUCUAAGACCUUUCCCCUUCAGGCCUGAGUCUGCGUUCUCCUCUUCAAUUGGAAGGCAAGGGAAUGAGUGCUUAUUCUAACCUUCCUAAAUC